rnacentral:lncRNA from 1 species
GUCCCUCACCUUCGACAGCUGCUGAACUAUCACACUCCGGACCCAGCAUGCAGAUCGGGCACGUGAUUACCACAUACUUCUUAAGAUAAGGUCCUAAAGAACAUACAAGGCCUGUCCUGACAUUCAAAAUUAUUAUAUCAAAUCAUACUCAGAUAAUGGUAGUACAAGUAAAUCUCUAAUUUUAUUGAUUCAAAUAAAAGAUAGUUCACCAAUAUCUCA